rnacentral:lncRNA from 1 species
GCCGGGGCUCCGGCCCCCGGCCUGAGAGCUGUGCGACCGUCGCUCUUCUUCCGGCGGCAGGUGUACGCGUCGCUGCCCGGCCGCGAAGACGCCUUCCACCGCGGCAUCUUCCUCUUCUGCUGCCACGAGCCGCCGUGCUGUGCCGCCCUGCGAGUUUCUAGGAAUCAGCUACCCAGGAAAAAUGAUUUUUACUCAUAUGAGCCACCUUCUGAGAAUCCUUCCCCAGAAACAGGAGAAUCGGUGUAUCUCCAACUUAAGUCUGGUGCUCAUCUCUGCAGUGUUUGUGGCUGUUUAGGCCCCAAAACUUGCUCCAGAUGCCACAAAGCGUAUUACUGCAGCAAGGAGCAUCAGACCCUAGACUGGAGAUUGGGACAUAAGCAGGCUUGUGCACAACCAGAUCAUUUGGACCUUACAACUCCAGACCACAACUUCCUUUUUCCAGAAUUUGAAAUUGUAAUAGAAACAAGAUGAGAUUAUGCCUGAGGUUGCGGAAAAGGAAGAUUAUUCAGAUAUUAUAGGGAGCAUGGUUAAGCAGUUUCAGGACUUCAUUCAUUAAGUGGUUAAACUUAAUGCUUGGAAGAAAGGUCUCAAUGUGUCUAGAAGAGAGGUACUGAGAGGAAGACUCACUUUGGAGGCUGGAGCCUACAAUUUUCAAGGAUUGCCUCAGGUGAAAAUAUACUUCCUGGACUUUGUUUCCUGACAUAUAUCAGGUGUGUUCUGCUCCCUAUAAAGACAAGAGGAGGCGGGUAUCCAGAUGGUCCCACGAGUAGGGCUACACAAGAUGCUGGAGGCUUGGUAAGUUCCUCUGGGUCCCAGAUCUUUUUCUCAGGUCGGGAUAGUGUGAGUGCCUAGCACAGUGUCGGGCAUGCAGAAGGGCCCCUUAAAAGUUUCUCUUUCAUCUGGCCAGUUUUAGAUACACAAUUUUGUCAGUUUAUCUGCAGUGCAUACUCUUGGGUAGUGCCUGUGCUGACCAAGUAUCUUAGAGGCUUAUUUUAUUAUAGUAGCCAACAUUUAUCCAGCACUUAACCUUAUAUAAAGGGCUGUUUUUGCAUGAGCUAAUUAAAAUCCUGAGAGUAGACCAGUAAGUCAGAAACUCUGCCCCGUUUUGAAGGUGAGGAAAUUGAGGUUCUGGGUAUAACUUGCUUUGGUCACAUAAUGUUAAGUUUUACAAUUUGAGCCUUGAGCCAUACACAAAGCCACCAUAAACAUUAGAUUUAUAGACUCAAAAUGAAAACAUCAGCUUACUGGUUUGUAGUUCAUACCAGUCAUACAUUCCAAAACAUGUUUGAGUCUUA